rnacentral:rRNA from 1 species
UACAGAGGGGGCAAGCGUUAUUCGGAAUUAUUGGGCGUAAAGGGCGCGUAGGCGGCUUUGCAAGUGGCGGGGGAAAUCCCUCGGCUCACCCGAGGACCUGCAUCCCAAACUGCCGAGCUUGAGUAUGGGAGAGGAUGAGGGAAUUCCUGGUGUAGCGGUGAAAUGCGUAGAUAUCAGGAGGAACACCGGUGGCGAAGGCGCUCAUCUGGCCCAAUACUGACGCUGAGGCGCGAAAGCUAGGGGAGCAAACGGG